rnacentral:tRNA from 1 species
GGGCUCGUAGCUCAGUUGGUUAGAGCGUUGCAUUGACAUUGCAAAGGUCAGAAGUUCGAAUCUUCUCGGGCCCA